rnacentral:rRNA from 1 species
GACGAACCGUGCGAACGUUGUUCGGAAUCACUGGGCUUAAAGGGCGCGUAGGUGGUCUGUCAAGUCAAGGGUGAAAUCUUUCGGCUCAAUCGGAAAACUGCCUUCGAUACUGGCAGGCUAGAGGGAGAUAGGGGUUGCGGGAACUACCAGUGGAGCGGUGAAAUGCGUUGAUAUUGGUAGGAACGCCGGUGGCGAAAGCGCGCAACUGGACCUCUUCUGACACUGAGGCGCGAAAGCUAGGGGAGCAAACGGG